AAGCGACCAAUUCGAAGCGCCGGAAUGGGGUAGGAAACCGGCCGCGUACGACUUAAGUGUCAAACGCCCCCUGAUGUCGCCCGGGCCUGCCCUAUGC
rnacentral:sRNA from 1 species